GUGAAUCAUCGAAUCUUUGAACGCAUAUUGCACUCUUUGGUAUUCCGGUGAGUACGCCUGUUUGAGGGUAAUUAAAAAGCAUAUUUAACGAUUUUUUUUUGGUCAAUGUAAAUGAGCUCUCCGAGUUUAUCGCGGUAGAUUGAUAUAAAUGGUCAAGUCUCAUUUUAGUCGAGACGAGUAAUAAUAUUAUUUCGCGAAAUCUGCAUUAUGUGACUAUCAAGUUUUGAUGCAUACAACUUUGCUUUGUAGGCGAUAAAUGCAAAUAUUUUGAACAUUA
rnacentral:misc_RNA from 1 species